rnacentral:rRNA from 1 species
GACGAACGCUGGCGGCGUGCUUAACACAUGCAAGUCGAACGGAAAGGCCCCGUUCGUGUGGGGUGCUCGAGGCGCGAACGGGUGAGAAACACGUGAGUCACCUGCCCUUGACUUUGGGAUAACUUCAGGAAACUGGUGCUAAUACCGGAUAGGUGCUCCUGCUGCUUGGUGGGGGUUGGAAAGUUUCGGCGGUUGGGGAUGGACUCGCGGCUUAUCAGCUUGUUGGUGGGGUAGUGGCAUACCCAGGCAUUGGCGGGUAGCCGGCCUGAGAGGGUGACCGGCCACAUUAGGACUGAGAUACGGCCCAGACUCGUACGGGAGGCAGCAGUGGAGAAUAUUACACAGUGGGCGGAAGCCUGAGGCAGCGACGCCGCGUGCGGGAAGACGGCCUUCGCGUUGUGAACUGCUGUCGCCUGUGACGAAGCGUGAAUGACGGUAACGGGUAAAGAAGCACCGGCUAACUACGUG